CAGCGUUCUAACCGCUAGACCACCGUGGCAGUUUUCUUAAUAUUAUAUGAGUGUUGUCUGGCUGUUCAGUAUCAUACCGAGGCUCUGCUAGGUCACCCAUAAACCGAAGAAUGGUAACCCAAAGAGCUUUAGCAGCCUGCAAAAAUGUAACAGAAUAUAGUAUUUGUAAUACUAGACCGCUCUUGGAUCAGUCAGAAAGUAAGAAGAUGACAGAAUGCCAAAAGAAUUACAAAGGAAAUGGAGAACCCAAAAAAUUUGCUUGAUUGCAACUUAUAAGCCAUAAAUACAGUGUGGACUAUGGACGCUGCAUACUACUGUCCACCAUACAAGACUUACCAACUGGUCAGCUGGAAGUGGAAGAUCUAGAACUUCCUUGAAUGAAGAAGAGCCUGUAGUCGAAGAUAGCCUUGUCUCAUCUUCUGGUACUGGAGACGAGGAACACGGCCACGCCAGUAUUUCUGCAGUGUCAAUGCAGCUGACCGUAGUCUCAAGAAUCUACAUAUAAA